GCUACUUUGGCCGAGCGGUUAAGGCGUGUGACUCAAGCUUCUCCAGCUUGCCUCCAUUGGAGGUUUAAGUCUUCUCAUAGACAUUGUCUGCGGGAGUUCGAAUCUCCCAGGUAGCA